UUGUUUUCACACCUUGAAUUAUUUACAUGAAUAUUUCACCAUCUGGAUGAGAAAUUGUGUUUUGUUCUCAAAUGCACGUGUGCGCAUGAGUAUACUUUGGCUAAUGUUUUUUCUUUCUUGGUUAAUGAACAAAGUACAGAGGAUGUAACAGAACAAUAUUGGUACAACUCAUAAGAAGGAUUUAAGAAGUAAAUCAUUGACAUGGUCUCAGAUGGCAUCAUAUACCGUUCUGUGUGGGCGACCGCUUCUACCUGUGUGAGAACAAGAUCCUCUGUGAGUACGACUACGAGGAGCGACUCGUUUUCGCCAACAUGGCGUACAACCCUCCCAGCAUCGCCCACAUCAAGCGACACUUGCCGCCGCCCCCGACGACCACAACUGGCCAUUUAGGAACGGCAGGCGUUCGAACGUCAGCGCUUCCUGUGGUCGGUAUGAGCAACUCUCUCCAACCGCUUUGCACUCUGGGAAAUAACGGAGAUAUUGUUGAUCGUCACUCCACUAACGGCGAGACGGGCAGUCAUAGCAACAAUGGAUUUCUUCCAGCCACGACCGUGGCGCUCAGCUUCGACAGCAAAUGAAAUAGUUGCCACAAGAGGCGCCACCGUCUUAGAAUCGCUGCAGGCCGUGAAGUGUUUACGGAAGGCCUUUCUUGGAAUUUUGAAGUUUCGGCACUAGCUGUAAUUAUACCUUUCAGAAUGGUGGUGGGUUUCAAAUAGAUUCUAACGGACAUAAAUUAUUCAAUUUCCUUGUGUCGUACAUAGAUUAAACUUAAGGACAUUACAUAAAGAUGAGGAAAUCACUGCGAAUCGCCUUCAGCGUUUAUUGAUAUUCUGAUGAUCUGUUGUGUAAAUUGGAUAUUUAUUGUGGCAAUUGCACGAGCCUCUGUGUUCUGGAAGCAAACACUAAUCUCUGUUGCAAUGAACAGUGCCACAUUGACAAUGAACUCUGAGGCUCAAUGCUGUGUUUGCUAAACCUGUGAACGUCGAUUGUUGUGAUGACCGAACUUUUAAAGGAACGGCUGAAUACACACUAUUCAUGUAGGCGUCUGUACAGAAUAUAUCGUCGUUAUCUUCAUGUGAA